GAGAGUAGCGAGUGACAGGUAAGGGCUCUGAACCUUCCUGCGUGCUACCCAAGGAGUGCCUAGGGCUACCAGGAGGCCCAGGGAGGAACCUUGAGACCUGAGAAAGGCUUUUCUUCCCCGAGAGGACCACUGCUCAGGCUCAGAGGCCAUGGGGUGAAGUGCACAAAAAAGUGGGCGUCCAGCCAUGCUCUAAGUCCCCCGAAGAUGAAGACCAGGGAGCAGCUUCCUCCAAUGAAGCAGCAGCAAUCAGAGGACCAGGAGGCUGAAGCCCUGAGCCCAGCCAGAGGCAGGAUCAGCCAAGUCUGGGACAGGCUUCAAUUAUUUUAGGCAGAGCUUCUGGUUCCUGGGCCUUCAGACUUGGACUAGAACUUCACUACCAGCUUUCCUGGGUCUCCAGCUUGCAGAGAGCAGAUCGCAGAACUUCUUAGCCUCCAUAAUCACAACGUGUUUGCUUCCCCUUCCACCAUGAUUGUAAGUUUCCUGAGGCCUCCCCAGUCCUGCAGAACUGCUUUGAAGAAGACCACUGCGUCGGUAUUUGUGAAAUGUUUUGAGCCUCUGGAUUUAAAUAAGCUCCCGCCCCCACCCAGGCCUGCUCAGAAGAACCCAAGCCACUCAGAAGCAGGAGGCAGCCUUCACCCCAACCAGACCAAUAUCCGUUCCAGACUCAGGAUUACAACAAUCUGGGAGAGGGUCAACCAAGUCAGAGUCCCACAUGGCAGAAGAGCUGCUUUAGCUUAAGACUCUUAACUCUUUUUCUUCGGGGCAGGAAAGGUUUGAGCCAAUGAAGGAUGAGGCUUUCCAGGCCCAGGACACAACCUUGAUCCAAGGCCUAGUUGUGGCUUUAAUUUUUGUAAAUCAAGCCUCAAGUUUUUCUUCACUCUUUUAGCCAAAGAUAUGUUUCCCAGGAUGCAUGAAAUAAAUAAAUAAAAUGUACCAAAUUA
rnacentral:lncRNA from 1 species